ACCUGGCUGGCUCAGUCAGUAGAGUGCGUGACUGCUGAUCUCGGGGUUGUAAGUUCGAGCCCCGUGUUGGGUA
rnacentral:tRNA from 1 species